UCGAGGUCAAGCAAAGACAUCUCUUUCUUCUCUUUCUUGCUCUCUGUCUUGACAGGUUUGGACGGAGGCUUUGAUUCAGCUGCCUGGAAGGAGAUGAAGGAUGAAGAUUUAUUACAAGACAUGUUCAUAUGGGGCAGUAUAAUUACAGGAAUGUCAAUGACGAGAAUACAGUUUCAGAUUUUAACGCCAAUUUAAAAUGUAGAUUUUACAAAAGAAAAUACUCCACUCCUGACUUUUCCUGUGUUUAAAAUAUAAAGGUGAACAUUUUAAUGUUUUUUUUUAAGUGGACAGAAUCAUUAUCAUUACCUUUUUUUUCUUUUUGACUUCUGCCUCAGACUCAGAGUCUUCAGACUCUGAUUGGCUGCUUUCAGACUCGCUCUCCUCCUCUUCGUCAGAUUCGGACUCUGAGGCGCUCUUACGUUGUUUACUCUUCCUCUCGUGCUUCCUCUCUUCUUCUUCACUGCUCUGCUCACUGGACAAGAAAAGCAAAGGUCAAAGUAUCACAGAGACUCAGAGCCUUCCUCACUCUCUUCGCUCUCUGAUCCCGACCCACUCUCCUCGCUGCCGCUGCCACUCUCCGAGCCGCUGGCAGAGUCGGACUCUGAAGAAGAAAAGGUCAGAGAGUGCGAGGUCAGCUGUGAUUAAGGACACUUCAGCUGGAUGGAUGCUCGUUAACAUGAACCAAGGCCUGAUUACGAAGACCUCAAUUAAUGACGACACCAACCUGCUGCUCGGGAAACAAUUAUGAUCUCUACCAAGCUGCGUUGCGGCUCUGCAGCAGCGGCUUCGUGUUCCUCAGCAGCAGCCGGUGAUCUGGAUCCAUCACGUACGGUUUCCUCUUGGCCAUGGCAGCAGCCUCGGCUUUCUUCUCUUUCUCCUCCUCGUCUUCAUCCUCAUCU